rnacentral:rRNA from 1 species
GUGGGGAAUAUUGGACAAUGGGGGCAACCCUGAUCCAGCAAUGCCGCGUGUGUGAAGAAGGCCUGCGGGUUGUAAAGCACUUUUGGCAGGGAUGAAAAGCACUGGAUUAAUAACCCAGUGUGUUGACCUAACCUGCAGAAGAAGCACCGGCUAACUCUGUGCCAGCAGCCGCGGUAAUACAGAGGGUGCAAGCGUUAAUCGGAAUUACUGGGCGUAAAGCGCGCGUAGGCCGUCGAGUAAGUCGGAUGUGAAAUCCCCGGGCUUAACCUGGGAAUUGCAUUCGAUACUGCUUGGCUAGAGUGUGGAAGAGGGAAGCGGAAUUUCCGGUGUAGCGGUGAAAUGCGUAGAUAUCGGAAGGAACACCAGUGGCGAAGGCGGCUUCCUGGUCCAACACUGACGCUGAGGCGCGAAAGCGUGGGGAGCGAACAGGAUUAGAAACCCGUGUAGUCC